rnacentral:lncRNA from 12 species
ACCUCGGCCCCCGGCUGGGUCAGGUCGCGAGGGCUGCGCGAGCGGGGCGGGGGCGGGGGCAGCGCCGGGGGCGGGGCCAGCGCCGGGGGCGGGGCCCGCCUCACCUGGCUCACCUUCUUAAAGGGACAGUGGGGCAGGAAGGAAACUCGCCAGACAGGUACUAGUAAACUUCAAACGCCGGAGGCCUGGGGACCGGAACGGGACUGCGGGCGCCGCCUAGUGAGUGGGAUGAGGAACUGACUCACCGCUUCGAAUUCUAAUCCCGAACCCAACCCAUGUCUUGAUGCAGCCUUUAACCUAAUUCGACCUCCGACCUGAACUGCAUCUCCCCGCCCCUUAAAGGUCCUCUCCCCAGAGUUAACUGCCACCAAUUGUGUCUUGAGGUUCUCCCAGAGUUUUUUUCCCUAAGCACACACAGGAGCCUGAUGUGAGAAUGUAUACAGAGGGGCCAUCGGAUGCGCUGUGUUCUGCACCAGGGGCCUUCUUUCUAAUGCUUCCUCAACAGCAGAAUGGGGGAAAUGGUGAUAGGAUGUUGGUCCUCAGCACCUACAACAUCAUAGUGUACGAGGCGGGUACAAAAAUGAUGAAGGAUGCAAGCCGAUGCUCCUGCUUCCACUAUGCAAUAGGCAAGAAGAUGGUGAAAAAGCAGUGA